UGGGGAAUAUUGGACAAUGGGCGAAAGCCUGAUCCAGCAAUGCCGCGUGUGUGAAGAAGGCCUUAGGGUUGUAAAGCACUUUCAGUAGGGAGGAAGGGUGUAACGCUAAUAUCGUUGCACAUUGACGUUACCUACAGAAGAAGCACCGGCUAACUCUGUGCCAGCAGCCGCGGUAAUACAGAGGGUGCUAGCGUUAAUCGGAAUUACUGGGCGUAAAGCGUGUGUAGGUGGUUAGAUAAGUUAGAUGUGAAAUCCCCGGGCUUAACCUGGGCAUUGCGUUUAAGACUGUUUAGCUUGAGUACUGUAGAGGAUAGUGGAAUUUCCAGUGUAGCGGUGAAAUGCGUAGAUAUUGGAAGGAACACCAGUGGCGAAGGCGACUAUCUGGACAGAUACUGACACU
rnacentral:rRNA from 1 species